ensembl:lncRNA
UUUUGGUCACCUGACUUCCUGUUGGUGUUGCUGAGCUUAGUUGCGGGUUACUUUUCCGAAGCCUCCAUCGCAGCUGGUCGUAGCUGUAGAAGCCUCCUCUGAGCCAUUCUGCUUACGUUUUAUGACACGGCUUACUUGGAUAAAAGCAAAGCAGCAGCUACUUUGGUGUGGGAUUCCACAGCUGUGUUACAGAGAUGGAGGAAGAGUUACAGGAACUCAGGGACUUGAUCGCGCAGCUGAAAGCAGACAAUGAGAGGCUGCGCCAGGAGAGGGCUGUUGAGUCAGAUGCGGAGUGCCGACGUGGAGGAGACCAGGGUGCCUUGGUGGUGGGAUCCUCUGAGUGUACACACCUGCCUUGUUUAAUUUAUAGUGUGAGUGUG